rnacentral:rRNA from 1 species
UGCAAGUCGAGCGGACAGAUGGGAGCUUGCUCCCUGAUGUUAGCGGCGGACGGGUGAGUAACACGUGGGUAACCUGCCUGUAAGACUGGGAUAACUCCGGGAAACCGGGGCUAAUACCGGAUGGUUGUUUGAACCGCAUGGUUCAGACAUAAAAGGUGGCUUCGGCUACCACUUACAGAUGGACCCGCGGCGCAUUAGCUAGUUGGUGAGGUAACGGCUCACCAAGGCAACGAUGCGUAGCCGACCUGAGAGGGUGAUCGGCCACACUGGGACUGAGACACGGCCCAGACUCCUACGGGAGGCAGCAGUAGGGAAUCUUCCGCAAUGGACGAAAGUCUGACGGAGCAACGCCGCGUGAGUGAUGAAGGUUUUCGGAUCGUAAAGCUCUGUUGUUAGGGAAGAACAAGUGCCGUUCAAAUAGGGCGGCACCUUGACGGUACCUAACCAGAAAGCCACGGCUAACUACGUGCCAGCAGCCGCGGUAAUACGUAGGUGGCAAGCGUUGUCCGGAAUUAUUGGGCGUAAAGGGCUCGCAGGCGGUUUCUUAAGUCUGAUGUGAAAGCCCCCGGCUCAACCGGGGAGGGUCAUUGGAAACUGGGGAACUUGAGUGCAGAAGAGGAGAGUGGAAUUCCACGUGUAGCGGUGAAAUGCGUAGAGAUGUGGAGGAACACCAGUGGCGAAGGCGACUCUCUGGUCUGUAACUGACGCUGAGGAGCGAAAGCGUGGGGAGCGAACAGGAUUAGAUACCCUGGUAGUCCACGCCGUAAACGAUGAGUGCUAAGUGUUAAGGGGGUUUCCGCCCCUUAGUGCUGCAGCUAACGCAUUAAGCACUCCGCCUGGGGAGUACGGUCGCAAGACUGAAACUCAAAGGAAUUGACGGGGGCCCGCACAAGCGGUG